rnacentral:sRNA from 2 species
UGUAAUGACAAGCCGAAUCUCCAUAAAGGAGUACGGGGGAUAUCCAUUGGGGUGAAUCUUUAUUUUAAAGAAGGGUACCUCUUACCCUAACCCGUCAACUAACCUCGGAGGCAAAAGGAGGAAAUUU